AGAAGCCAGCUAAUCAAUGGGAAUGGUAUAUCUGCACUGAGGUUAGUCAGAGGAUCCAAGCCAGCAACUUUUCAAAUCUAGCCGAAGCGUUCAUGACAAUUCCCAGGAAUUACUCUUUCACUAAUGGCGGAAUAUUUGUUUCCUAUCAUCAGAAGAUGGGAAACCUACUGGAUCUAAUCAACUUCCUCAAGAUUGAGAACACCCGAAGCAUG